rnacentral:lncRNA from 1 species
CUGUGAGGAGAUUUCAAGGAAGUAGGUAUACGGAGAAAAGCAGCAGCCAAUCCACUUUUUAUUGCUAGUAAUUUAACAUUCCUAGUCAACGUUCUGUGUUCAAUGUAUACAAAGAUUCUUGUAGUUUCUUCCUCUAAAUCUCUUCAAAGCUUUGAAAUACUGAUCAUCUUUCCAUCAUACUAAUUAAUGGAUUCUGCAUUUUUUCUUAACCGUUCUGAGAAAACUUCGGUUCCAU